GGGGGAUUAUGGAAAAUUGGGGAAAGGUUGAUCCCCCGGCGAGGCGGGGUGGGAGAAAGCCUUCGGGAUUUUAACAAAGGACACGUAAGAAUAACAAGGACGGGGAACGUUCAUGGAGGAGGUAAUUAGUGCAAAUACACGUCGUAAGCAGCUCCAGCAGCCGCGGUAAUACGUAGGGGGCGAGCGUUGCCCGGAAUUACUGGGCGUAAAGGGAACGUAGGUGGCUCUUAAAGUCAGUGUGUGAAAAUAACGAAGCUUAACAGGUUAAUGCGCUUGAAACUAAAGGGCUUGAGGGCAAUAGAGGGAGAUGGAAUUACCUGUGUAGGGGUGAAAUCCGCAGAUAUAGGUAAGAAGGCCGGUGGGGAAGCCGAUCUCCUGGGUUGACUCUGACACUGAGGUUCGAAAGCUAGGGGAGCAAACC
rnacentral:rRNA from 1 species